UCGUCAUGGUGUAUAUGAUCUUUCCUCCUACCUGACACGUCAAUUUGUUGCGGCCAACUCCCCGUCGCCUGUCGCUGGUAAUAAGCACCUACAAAACAACAUUCACACAGAUCGGAUUGGUGUCCGACGGGAACCGUUUGAUGCUUAAGUCAGAGAAAAAAAUUGGUAAAUAAUAGUUUUUGAAUGUAGAAAGUAGCAGAGUUCUGACCUCGAGAUGGCCUACCAGU
rnacentral:lncRNA from 1 species